rnacentral:rRNA from 1 species
AUUGAACGCUGGCGGCAUGCCUUACACAUGCAAGUCGAACGACGCUAGGGGCAACUCUAGCGAGUGGCGAACGGGUGAGUAAUACAUCGGAACGUGUCCUGUCGUGGGGGAUAACCAGUCGAAAGAUUGGCUAAUACCGCAUGACCUCGCAAGAGAAAAGCGGGGGACCGCAAGGCCUCGCGCGAUUGGAGCGGCCGAUGUCGGAUUAGCUAGUUGGCGGGGUAACGGCCCACCAAGGCGACGAUCCGUAGCUGGUUUGAGAGAACGACCAGCCACACUGGGACUGAGACACGGCCCAGACUCCUACGGGAGGCAGCAGUGGGGAAUUUUGGACAAUGGGCGCAAGCCUGAUCCAGCCAUGCCGCGUGUGUGAAGAAGGCCUUCGGGUUGUAAAGCACUUUCGGGCGGAACGAAAUCGCGCGGGUUAACAGCCCGCGUGGAUGACGGUACCGCAAGAAGAAGCACCGGCUAACUACGUGCCAGCCGCCGCCGUAAAAC